rnacentral:lncRNA from 1 species
CUGCACAAGCUCUUUUGCCUGCGGCCACCUAAGACGUAACUUUGCUCCUUAUUCGCUUUCCGCCAUGAUUGUGAGGCCUCCCCCACCAUGUGGAACUCUUCUUCUAGAUGGGAUCGAACUUCCUCCUUUCGCUCAGAGAGGUUUGAUUGUCUGAAGCCUUCUUCUCUCAACUUGUCAAAGUCAUUCUCCAUCUAGGUUUGUCCGUUGCUGAAAACGUCCUAAUAAGAAGAUAAGGUGACCGAAUAAGGGGAUUACUUGGCAGAGAUAUGAGAGAACUGGGUUCUUGACCCCACUUUGCCAUGAACUUGGGCAGAGGAGCCUUUCCCUGUGGCCACCACUGCCUUCAGCCCAUAAGGGAGUUUUUCCAGGCUACCUCCGAUGAUCACUUAAAGCUCAACAGCUCUUCAUUCAGCUUGUGGUCAUGUGCAAUCCUAAUACACUGACUCUGAGUCCAGUUCAGCACUAAGAGUUACCAAGAAUUUCAGUCCUUGUGUCCUAGACUGCCUUUCAAGUUUACUUGGAACCCCAAAGCACUUCAGCCUGCUGUGGUGAGGCGUGCUGAGAAACUGAAGUUCAAGCUACUGGGCUGGGUGAUUCUUUUCUGGCUAGGUGAGGUCCAAAUGCUCCCUCUUGCAUGGGGGCUGGCUGAGCCCAGCACGGCUUUGCUCUCUGCUGUGACAGGGCAGCACUGAAUUCAAUGUAAAGUCCUCCAGUUCUGUGCUCUCCCUCCCCAAGUGCACAGACUCUCUCCCAACAGCAUGGCUGCUGCCAGGGGAAAUAUUAAGAAUGGUGUAGGAGAUUCAAGACUGUCUGUCUUACUUUCUUCAGUGACAUGAAGUUAAAACCAGGUAGUCUCCUUUAGUGACAUGAAGUUCAAACCAGCUGGUCUAAUUGCUCACCUGAUUUUUGAUUCUUAUGAUGGUUCUUUUCUAUGUGCAGAUAGUUGUUAAAAUUUGGUGUUAUUGUCAGGAUGAAGAGUGUAGACUUCUAUUCCACAAUCUUGCUCUACCCACUUCCUGCCCCCAGUUGAGAUUCUUGCAUUUUUGGGUUAUAGUUGUAUUAAAUUUGAAAAAAAUGUAGUUAUUAUUACAUCAAAUAAUUUUGCUAUCCUGUCUUCACCCUUCAUGGGCUACAAGUUGAAGUAUAUUAGGUUGCUUGACAUUUUCCCAGAGCUCACUUGUGCUCUGUUCAUUGAAAAUUGUUUCUAAAAAUUGGAACCACUUAAAAUUCUAUCCAAACAAUUCUGUAAUCAAAGAGAAGAUUAAAAAACAAAUGGAAGGAUGUCAAGAAAAUAAUAAUAACUCAGUAUGUAUCAGUCUAUGGUCAGUACAAAUUUACUAAGAAGAAAAUAGAAUAAAAAUAAUGAGUU